rnacentral:lncRNA from 1 species
CUGGAGUUUUCAGAAGAACUGUGUAUCUCACUGAUUAUAGUGGAAAUUUGUCUCUCUAGCUUGGCCCAUGGUUUUUUUCAUUUCUGAAUUUUUCACGUAAAACUUUUGGUGUUCUUUUGUGCGAUUUGAUUUGUCUUCGUUAUUGGUGCUGGUUAUUAUUGGUUGCUCGUAUUUUUCUUAACAAAUUGGUAUCAGAGCCAAGUC